AUGGGUGCAGGGGUGCUCAGAGAGCCUCUCAGGGACCCCCUUACGGAUCGGGAGAGGACGGGUGCUCGUCGCUGCCGAGGUGGGAGAACCAGCGCUACCGGCUCUCGCUCUCGGUGCCCUGGCCGCGGUGUAGACGGGGAGAUUGUGCGCUCCCAGGCUUGGGGACGCGACCUGCAAAUGAAAACGAGGAAAACCAGGAGGCUGUGGCUGGUUCCAUGGGUGGAACGUGCAGCGCGUGAUUUCGGGCUUGCGAGUUUGGGCCCGACGUUGCGCAUCAGGCUUAUUUUGAAAACUAACAAAGAAAUAAACAAAAUGACCAAAGACGCACAGGAGAAAAGGUCGGCUCCGUGUGCGAGGCCUCGCAGGGGAGGAGGAUUCACGGAGGCCACCCCCGGCUUGCCCGCCUUCUCAGCGAGCCUGGGCACCCCUGUGGGGACCCUGGGUGACACCGCGGAGGAAGGGGGCCGGGGCGUCAGGACAGUGACUUGUGAGAAGGUAGACGUUGCGGGGGAAAGUCUGGGAGGGAAGCGUCACUUCUCUGCUGCGAAUGUUCCUCAUUUCUGGGCUGGAGCCAGACUGGGGACGGAGCAGGGGAAUUGCCACCUGGUUUCAGGCAGAGGGGGACAGCUCGGAGCUCCCGGGUGGCUGUGGUUUCUCAGUCGCCUUCAGCUCAGAAUAAUCCUGAUAGCAAAGUGGCCUAUUUCAGGGAGGCAAAUUCUGAGCCCCUGCGCUGUGCACACAGAGCACCAAGAGCUGCCCAGAGGCAAGGGGCACAUGCACACCAGAGGGGACUCGGCCCUCCCACGCAUGGGUGGGGUGACGGCAUGGUGGCCAAAUGCUGCGUGGUCGCCAUGGGCCUGGUUCUUACAUCUCGUGUUUCUGCUUGGAACCCUUCCUACGCCCCAGGGCUGCAGCCAGGGAUCUGGUGGGGGGGGGGGGACACGGCUCAUGCCCAGGACAGGCUCCUGCAGGGUGACCGGGAUGUGUCACCUUGGGGCUGGGGACAUGGCUCAGCCCCUGAUGGUGUCCCUUGGGUACAGGUGGCAGGUGAGGACGCUGGGCUGUGGUGGGCAGGCAUGUGGCUUUAGCAGUAGGGGACCCCCAGGUCUUGCCCCCUGGCCAGGGAACACUGUGCACACGUCUUGGGGCUCCCUUUCCUCUGUAGGUGAUGUCACACACCCACGCGUGUGCUAA
rnacentral:lncRNA from 1 species